rnacentral:rRNA from 1 species
CUAUAUGAAUAAGCACCGGCUAAUUCCGUGCCAGCAGCCGCGGUAAUACGGAGGGUGCAAGCGUUACUCGGAAUCACUGGGCGUAAAGAGCGUGUAGGCGGGUAUAUAAGUCAGAAGUGAAAUCCAAUAGCUUAACUAUUGAACUGCUUUUGAAACUGUAUACCUAGAAUGUGGGAGAGGUAGAUGGAAUUUCUGGUGUAGGGGUAAAAUCCGUAGAGAUCAGAAGGAAUACCGAUUGCGAAGGCGAUCUACUGGAACAUUAUUGACGCUGAGACGCGAAAGCGUGGGGAGCAAACAGGAUUAGAUACCCUGGUAGUCCACGCCCUAAACGAUGCACACUAGUUGUUGUGAGGCUCGACCUUGCAGUAAUGCAGUUAACACAUUAAGUGUGCCGCCUGGGGAGUACGGUCGCAAGAUUAAAACUCAAAGGAAUAGACGGGGACCCGCACAAGCGGUGGAGCAUGUGGUUUAAUUCGACGAUACACGAAGAACCUUACCUGGACUUGACAUAGUAAGAACUUUCUAGAGAUAGAUUGGUGUCUGCUUGCAGAAACUUAUAUACAGGUGCUGCACGGCUGUCGUCAGCUCGUGUCGUGAGAUGUUGGGUUAAGUCCCGCAACGAGCGCAACCCUCGUCAUUAGUUGCUAACAGUUCGGCUGAGAACUCUAAUGAGACUGCCUACGCAAGUAGGAGGAAGGUGAGGACGACGUCAAGUCAUCAUGGCCCUUACGUCCAGGGCUACACACGUGCUACAAUGGGGUAUACAAAGAGCAGCAAUACGGUGACGUGGAGCAAAUCUCAAAAAUAUCUCCCAGUUCGGAUUGUAGUCUGCAACUCGACUACAUGAAGUUGGAAUCGCUAGUAAUCGUAGAUCAGCUAUGCUAGCGGUGAAUACGUUCCCGGGUCUUGUACUCACCGCCCGUCACACCAUGGGAGUUGAACUCAUUCGAAGCCGGGGAUGCUAAAGUAGCUA